UUGAGUAUUCAUCCUGGUGAACCAUCUGCCAGAAAGAGAUACGAUGGUUACAUAGAUUAACUUGCAAGCAGUUCAGAUGCUUAAUUUGCCCAAGUCCUUAAAAUGGUUGAAGCAAUGUGUGGAAGCUCCCAUCAAAGCAUAUCAAAAGGCAUGACGUAAAAACAAAACAGUGAGACAUGGAGUUUUGACGAAAAUUCAACUUGGAAGACUCACCUCCACUUCUGGCUCCGUCUAAUUACUCCACCACAUUCUCCACUCCAACCAAUCAGCUCCUGAUCUACAUUCUUCUUCAGUCAAUCAUCCCUCCAGGCUUCGCUUUAAAAGACCUUCAUACGCAGAAUCUCCUGCUCUUCAGCUGAGCUUCGACCCUCCUCCACCCUAUCUCCACCAUCAGGCGUCAAGCUCCUUUCGACUCCCUUAUUUCCUCAAGCCUCCACUCCACCACCAGUAUCAGGAUUCCGGGGGGAAGAGUUCUCUAAUACUAACCCUAAGAUGUUUAUUCAAGUUCAUGUCAUUAUCAGCAUCCAUGUUUUCCACUGGGGUCCGAGCGCCAAAAAGAAAACAAACAUCAGCUAAUAAACUCCUCUAAUUGCCA